rnacentral:ncRNA from 17 species
UUCGUUCAUCUCGAUCCCCUCAAGGUAGUAGUUCGAGACGGAAGUAAGGACAGCAGUUCCCGCUGACCCUGAAGGAACGCGUU